AGCUUGCUCCCUGAUGUUAGCGGCGGACGGGUGAGUAACACGUGGGUAACCUGCCUGUAAGACUGGGAUAACUCCGGGAAACCGGGGCUAAUACCGGAUGGUUGUUUGAACCGCAUGGUUCAAACAUAAAAGGUGGCUUCGGCUACCACUUACAGAUGGACCCGCGGCGCAUUAGCUAGUUGGUGAGGUAACGGCUCACCAAGGCAACGAUGCGUAGCCGACCUGAGAGGGUGAUCGGCCACACUGGGACUGAGACACGGCCCAGACUCCUACGGGAGGCAGCAGUAGGGAAUCUUCCGCAAUGGACGAAAGUCUGACGGAGCAACGCCGCGUGAGUGAUGAAGGUUUUCGGAUCGUAAAGCUCUGUUGUUAGGGAAGAACAAGUACCGUUCGAAUAGGGCGGUACCUUGACGGUACCUAACCAGAAAGCCACGGCUAACUACGUGCCAGCAGCCGCGGUAAUACGUAGGUGGCAAGCGUUGUCCGGAAUUAUUGGGCGUAAAGGGCUCGCAGGCGGUUUCUUAAGUCUGAUGUGAAAGCCCCCGGCUCAACCGGGGAGGGUCAUUGGAAACUGGGGAACUUGAGUGCAGAAGAGGAGAGUGGAAUUCCACGUGUAGCGGUGAAAUGCGUACAGAUGUGGAGGAACACCAGUGGCGAAGGCGACUCUCUGGUCUGUAACUGACGCUGAGGAGCGAAAGCGUGGGGAGCGAACAGGAUUAGA
rnacentral:rRNA from 1 species